rnacentral:rRNA from 1 species
UACGUAGGGUGCGAGCGUUAAUCGGAAUUACUGGGCGUAAAGCGUGCGCAGGCGGUUGUGCAAGACAGAUGUGAAAUCCCCGGGCUUAACCUGGGAAUGGCAUUUGUGACUGCACAGCUAGAGUGUGUCAGAGGGGGGUAGAAUUCCGCGUGUAGCAGUGAAAUGCGUAGAUAUGCGGAGGAAUACCGAUGGCGAAGGCAGCCUCCUGGGAUAACACUGACGCUCAUGCACGAAAGCGUGGGGAGCAAACAGG